rnacentral:rRNA from 1 species
AUUGAACGCUGGCGGCAGGCCUAACACAUGCAAGUCGAGCGGAUGAAGGGAGCUUGCUCCUGGAUUCAGCGGCGGACGGGUGAGUAAUGCCUAGGAAUCUGCCUGGUAGUGGGGGAUAACGUCCGGAAACGGGCGCUAAUACCGCAUACGUCCUGAGGGAGAAAGUGGGGGAUCUUCGGACCUCACGCUAUCAGAUGAGCCUAGGUCGGAUUAGCUAGUUGGUGGGGUAAAGGCCUACCAAGGCGGCGAUCCGUAACUGGUCUGAGAGGAUGAUCAGUCACACUGGAACUGAGACACGGUCCAGACUCCUACGGGAGGCAGCAGUGGGGAAUAUUGGACAAUGGGCGAAAGCCUGAUCCAGCCAUGCCGCGUGUGUGAAGAAGGUCUUCGGAUUGUAAAGCACUUUAAGUUGGGAGGAAGGGCAGUAAGUUAAUACCUUGCUGUUUUGACGUUACCAACAGAAUAAGCACCGGCUAACUCCGUG